rnacentral:rRNA from 1 species
UAGCAAUACGAUGGAAAGUUUAGUGGCGAACGGGUGCUUAACACGUGGGCAACCUGCCAGGAAGUGGGGGAUAGCUCGCCGAAAGGCGAAUUAAUACCGCAUGUGAUUAGAGAGGACAUCCUUUCGAAAUUAAAGUCGGGGCAACCUGACGCUUCUUGUGGGGCCCGCGGCCUAUCAGCUAGUUGGUGAGGUAACGGCUCACCAAGGCUUUGACGGGUAGCUGGUCUGAGAGGACGACCAGCCACACUGGGACUGAGACACGGCCCAGACACCUACGGGUGGCAGCAGUCGAGAAUUUUUGACAAUGGGGGAAACCCUGAUCGAGCGACGCCGCGUGGAGGAUGAAGGUCUUCGGAUUGUAAACUCCUGUCAUUGGGGAACAAUGCACAGAUAUUAACUGUAUUUGUGUUGAUAGUACCCGAAGAGGAAGAGACGGCUAACUCUGUGCCAGCAGCCGCGGUAAUACAGAGGUCUCAAGCGUUGUUCGGAUUCAUUGGGCGUAAAGGGUGUGUAGGUGGCGCGCUAAGUCGGGUGUGAAAUUUCGGAGCUUAACUCCGAAACUGCAUUCGAUACUGGCGUGCUUGAGGACUGGAGAGGAGACUGGAAUUCUCGGUGUAGCA